rnacentral:rRNA from 1 species
GCCAUGACUUGUCGUGGAUUAUUGGGCGUAAGAGCUCGUAGGCGGUUUGUCACGUCUGCUGUGAAAAUCCGAGGCUCAACCUCGGACCUGCAGUGGGUACGGGCAAACUAGAGUGCGGUAGGGGAGAUUGGAAUUCCUGGUGUAGCGGUGGAAUGCGCAGAUAUCAGGAGGAACACCAAUGGCGAAGGCAGAUCUCUGGGCCGUAACUGACGCUGAGGAGCGAAAGCGUGGGGAGCGAACAGGAUUAGAUACCCUGGUAGUCCACGCCGUAAACGGUGGGAACUAGAUGUGGGGUCCGUUCCACGGAUUCCGUGUCGCAGCUAACGCAUUAAGUUCCCCGCCUGGGGAGUACGGCCGCAAGGCUAAAACUCAAAGGAAUUGACGG